GAUGAAGAACGCAGCGAAAUGCGAUAAGUAGUGUGAAUUGCAGAAUUCAGUGAAUCAUCGAAUCUUUGAACGCACAUUGCGCCCCUUGGUAUUCCAUGGGGCAUGCCUGUUCGAGCGUCAUUUGUACCCUCAAGCUUUGCUUGGUGUUGGGCGUCUUGUCUCGCGUUGCGCGUAGACUCGCCUUAAAGCGAUUGGCAGCCGGCGUAUUGAUUUCGGAGCGCAGUACAUCUCGCGCUUUGCACUCAUAACGACGACGUCCAAAAGUACAUUUUUACACUCUUGACCUCGGAUCAGGUAGGGAUACCCGCUGAACUUAAGCAUAUCAAUAAGCGGAGGA
rnacentral:misc_RNA from 1 species